rnacentral:rRNA from 1 species
UACGGAGGGUGCGAGCGUUGUCCGGAAUCACUGGGCGUAAAGGGCGCGUAGGCGGCCUGAUAAGUAGGGGGUGAAAUCCUGCGGCUUAACCGCAGGGCUGCCUUCUAAACUGUCGGGCUAGAGCACGGUAGAGGCAGAUGGAAUUCCCGGUGUAGCGGUGGAAUGCGUAGAGAUCGGGAAGAACAUCAGUGGCGAAGGCGGGUCUCUGGGCCACUACUGACGCUGAGAAGCGAAAGCAUGGGGAGCGAACAGG